rnacentral:tRNA from 1 species
GUGGUGGCUCAGUGGUAGAACACUUGCCUAGCAUGUGUGAGGCACUGGGUUCAAUUCCCAGCACCACA